GCCAGGCGUGGUGGCGGGCGCCUGUAAUCCCAGCUACCCAGGAGGCUGAGGCAGGAGAAUCGCUUGAACCCGGGAGGCAGAGGUUGCAGUGAGCAGAGAUCACGCCACUGCAUUCCAGCCUGGGUGACAGAGCGAGACUCCGUCUCAA
ensembl:misc_RNA Metazoa_SRP Metazoan signal recognition particle RNA